rnacentral:rRNA from 1 species
UACGGAGGGGGCAAGCGUUAUUCGGAAUCAUUGGGCGUAAAGGGCGCGUAGGCGGCUUCAUAAGUCUUGGGUGAAAGCCCUCGGCUCAACCGAGGAAUUGCCUUGGAUACUGUGAAGCUCGAGGCUGGAAGAGGGCAGUGGAAGUUCCCGGUGUGAGCGGUGAAAUGCGUAGAUAUCGGGAGGAACACCAGUGGCGAAGGCGGCUGCCUGGGCCAGUUCGUGACGCUG